AACCAUCCUCCUGCAUAGAAAUUGCAUUGAGUUGAGAAACCAACCCUAAGCAAACAAAGAUCUUUCGAAAUGGAAAAGAAAAAAGAUUGUCGUCGUGAUUUCAUUCGCUGGUUUCAAUCGUGGAUUUGUAUUUCGUCAAUUCUACGUAUAUAAAAGAAAUCGUAAAUAAAAGUUUAGCCGUCCAUUGGUUAAAAGAAAAAAAUAGUAAAUUAAUAAUUAAAAAUAAUUAAAAAUGGGAAACGUGAUCACGAUAGAUGAGAAGCAGGGUGAAACGUUGAUCCCGCGCUGGACUAGAAGGUACUGCACCAAACACGCGGACCGAUAUAGCCCUCAGACAGGUAGAUCAAUAUAGUAGCUACGGCAUGCCUAACACGCAGGAUCUCUUGCCAGUGAACGCGUGAUUCUCAGCCCGCGGUGAUUGAGGGUGAACCUGGCCGAAUUUCAUCUCAAAUAACGAACUAACUUGAUUUGAAACAAGGAAUACUUUCGAAUAAUGUCAAGAAGAACUUUGAGGCAACAUUUCUUUAUGGAAAUAAUAGUAUAUUCGAUAUUAUAUAUACCAUUUUCACAUACUUAAUCCUAAACUCUCGAGUAAUCUUUGUCUCUCAGCUUUACAUAAUUCAGUCAAAUGCUGACUAUUCAUUCACUUCUGAAUUGUUAAACUUUCCCUGAGUAGCUGAUUGUAUGAUUUAGUUUUUCUUAUAAUUUCCAUUUCAGUAAGAAAUUAUGAGAUUUUUAAUAUAUAUUAUGGUAUAUGUUACAUAUAUUAGAAACUUAACAUUUAAAUGAUGAAUUAUAUAGAGAGGAUUUAAAAACAUAAUUUAAUAUUAUACAAGUUAUUAUUAGUUCGCAAUUCUUUUCUUCUAACUGUGAUUAGAUCUACAAAAAUAUAAAGAAUUAAUUAAUUUUUCUUUUUAGUUUUCGUAUAAAAAUAUAAUUAAUGAUUAAUAAUUUAGAAACAUUGUUGAAUUUAAAAUAAUUAUUAUUAAAGUAAUUUUAAAAAAAUUAUACUCGUCAAAAACAAUGAAAAAAUAUUUGAAACAAAAUAGAUAUUUGUAAUUUAAUUAAAUUAGAUUCUAAAUUUUGAUUGUUUAACAUUUAAAUUGUUUUUUAAAAAUACUUGUAGUAUAUAAAGCUGAUGUAAAGUUGAGAGAUACGUUCGCAAGCACUUUAGAUUUAAUGACAUGAAAUUUUACUAAUUAGAGGUAACUUAAUCUUGCUAUUUCUAGCAUGAACAAUUUUUCAGUCAAGUGUAUAAUGAUGUUAUUACUCACAUAAUAAAAUUUCAGAUAUUUUAUACAAAAAAAUUUCUUUAUCUCUAUUAUUAUAAAACUAAUUAUGUAAUUUUUAUAAGAGAAAAUUAUUUUAUAAAACUUAUUUCUAUGAAAUAA